UCCGAGACUCUCGGAUGACAGGGCAGAACACCACGCGGAUGUGAUGCCGGGAAAGAACAGGACAAACCUUUGGAGCCAGAACGGGGUGAGACUCCCACCUCCACCUGACUGGGUGACCUUGGGCAAGUCAGCCUCCCCGGGCUCAUUUUCCUCACCUCUGAAGCAAACCGCUCCUGCCCUGUUCUCUGCUCCCAAGUGUCAUGGGCCAGUGGCCCAUUCGUUGCUAAUUUGCUGUUUCUAGUAACAGCAACAUUUUCCUGCAUGUUCAUUCUACUGCUUCACUGGUGUUAAUACUGGGAAUGAAUGAGAAGGGUUUUGUUUUGUUUUGUGAUUGUCUUAUCUUGUUUUUAAAUAUUUCCUUAUCUAUCUAAUCUGUCUGCCACUUCCCACCGUGGAGGCCACAUUUGAAACCACAGUAGCUUUGCAAGGGCAUUGCUUCUUUCACUUUCAGGUUCCAAUUAGUCACAGAGAUAGGGCCAUUCAGAGCUGUAAGGCAGCUCCACCGCAGAAGAGGGAAAGUCUUGGCGCUCGUAACUGUAACCGGAAAAUCCUCCCGGAGUGUCUGCGUGCCAGCAGUGUGGUCAUGGCAGGGGGCCGGCUCCACACCCUGCGGGCUUGUCCUCUCACUUUCCGGGAGGAUUUAACAGCGUGCUCUGCUGUCAGCUGCGCUCUUGAAUCCCCUCUCAUCUUAGUGACACUCCUGCUUAAGUGAGUCAUUCUUGACUCCCUGGACACCAGAAGCCUUUCUUCCUGACAGCAGGUGAGAUGCUGGCAGCCUCUCAACGUGACCAUCCACUUCAGUGCCUGUGAAAAUCCCCACCGCCCUGCGACCCGGACAUCUGAAGAUUUUGCUUAAUAGAGUCGGCUGCCGCUUGAGGGAGGUGUGCCCGGCUGGCUGGGGAGCCCAGCAUGAGACCCGCUCUGCCUGCGCCGGGGACCCUCCGUGGCUGCUGCCUGGGAAAGGCUGGUGUGGCUGGAGGGGACGAGGGGAGGAGGCGGGCCACCUGGCAUGCCUGAGGAGCGAAAUACACAAGGCAAAAUUCUGAAAUCGUGGAGAGGGGGCAUGAAAUGCUACUUCAACGUGAAUUUCAACAAUAGAACACAGGAUCUCAAAGAAAUUUCAGUUCUCUGUGUACUCCGCUGCCUUGAUGAGUGCUUCUGUUGAAAAGUUCCAGGAAGCCUGCUAUUUUCCUGCCCUUCAACCGCAUGAAGCCUAGUUGGAAGAGAGGAUGGAGGAGAUGGUAAAUAGGUAUUUGACACGGUGUGGGCUCCAAGGCCCAAGGCAUUUCCUCACCUCUAGCAGUCAGCAAAUAGAGCCAGGGGCCUUCUCUCACAGACGCUCCUGAGCACCUCUAAAAAGCCUGCCACUCAACCCCGUAAUGGCCUGCCCAUAAUCCACUUCUGUUUUUCGCCCGUGUCUCCCCCCAUGAAGCCGUGCCCCUCGCAAAGCCCAGCACUGACUCUGCUGCUGUUUGAUAGUAAAGGCCAUAGUUCCAGGACAGAGACUAGCUAUAUCCUCACCCCUCUUAACCCACUCCUCCCCACGUGCAGGUUCUGGCUUCAAUUCUCUUGGAGAACAGGCUCUCCCAGUCCAGGGCCACUAGCUCUGCUUCUUGCGUCCCAAGAAGCAUCAGGCCCUGUGGGAUGAGCCGAGAGGGUGGCCAGCCUCUGCCCAUGUUGAAAGACUUAACAUUUCAUUUCCUGACUAUGUUUGGAUGGCUGGCUGCAGCAUGUGGACCUUCACUUCUGUCCACUCUGAACUCUUUGCCUGAAAGGAGUCUACCCAGGAAAUGGCAGUCUGAUGUGGUCUCCACUAAACCAUUGCUGUGGGCCACACAGAGGCAGAACUGUCUUUACAUCUUGACAGCCUUCGUCCAGUGUCACAAAGGCACAGCCAGCCUCAACCCAGGUCUGUCUGAUCAGAAGGGCCGUAUGUGAAUUUAAGAACAAGGACAUCUCCCAGUCACCAAGUAGAGACUUCACAUCCUUGAAUGAUGGAAGGGAGGCAAACAUCCUUUAGCUUUGCCUGAUUCCUCAAGCUUCCAGCUUGGGACUUGAAUGUGGUGGCUGCAACGCAGUCAUCUCAGCCUAUCAGAUCACCCUAAGGAUGGAAGCUACACAGUAAGGAUAAUAAGAGUUGAAAGAUAGCAGUCUGGAUGCCCUGCGCAGCUCCUGACCUCACAGGUCUGUGAUGCUGUCUCUGUGAUGGUAAGGAGGUGGCCCCUGAUUAAAGCAGUUGUGGGCACAGGACUGAUUGUCCACAGGCUGGUCAACAACUUAGGAGGUGGCAGGCAUGAAGCCUUGCCCAGCUGGCAUCAUAGGCUCACCUCAGGACCAGAUACAUUCUUCCCUUUGCUGUGAGGAAGUGAGGGAUCUCAUUCAUUCUCAAAACAACCCUAUGAGUUCUCACCCUGGUUCUUCAAGGCAGUUUUACAAGCUAGAAGACAGAGGCAGAGGGAAAUAAGUAGCUUCCCCAAGGUCACGCAACUAGUCAGUGAUGAACCUGGUGUCCAGCUGGAGCGUAUGAGCCUUGGCAAUUCUCAAGCCCAGUUUCUACAAGGAAUUGGCGGUUUAAUGUAGUGACUGAAGCCUGGCCUCCUCUGAGGACCGGCUAGCAGCGGGAGAGGCCCCGGGGCGGUUGCAUGGGCUCGGAGCAGUCUGAUGGGGCAUAGGCUGCACAGGCCAGCGCCCAGGCCCCCUGACCUGCCUGUGUCAGGGGCAGGUUGCCUGGAGGGCAGGGCAGGCCCUCUGGAUGCGCUUCGAGGAGCCCCCACUGACAGCCGCAUGUGGACAAGGCAGAGGCCAGCUCCUGAGGGAUCAGAGUGACGGCCGCCGCCGAGCAGGAAGGGCCCAAGGGGAGGAGAGAGACGGAGAUAAAUGACCCCCUGUGUGUCCACCGACCUCCCGGCCGAGCAUCUUGACUGAGUGUGUAAAGGAGAAUCAGCACUCGGCUUGCAGGGAGCCGUGAGGGAUUCUCCGUGAUACUUGCUGGUCAGAACUUGGUUUCGCUCAGAUGAGACAAAAAGACACACAAGUCAGAUAUCAAAUAAUGCAAGUCACUGGGUAAGUUUGGGUCAAAGCGAAGGCCUUUCUAAGGAUUUUUUUUUUUUUAAUGAUUUAUUUAUGGUCAUACUUCUUGGCAUGGCUGCAGGAUCUUAGUUCCCAGACCGGGGAUGAAACCCCUGCCCCCUGGGGUCUUAACAACUGAACGGCCAAGGGAAGUCCCAGGCCUUUCUAGAAGGAAGAGGUCAGUGUCCUGGUUCUCUUACCCCCUGCAAAUCAAAAUCACCUGCUGGAGCUUGGUGACCUAGUGAUGCCCGUGUCCUGUCAGCUCAGUUCUGAAGCAAUCUGUCCCGUGGAGGCCUAGACUUGGGGAUUUUUCUGAACUUAUUUUUCAUAAAGGUAACAUUGGUUUAUAACGUUAUAAAAGUGUCAUGUGUAACAACCUUCUAUUUCUACUUCUGUCUACACUAUAGCACGCUCACCACUGAAAGUUUAGUUUCCAUCACUCACCCUACUGUUGGGUCCCCUUUACCCAUUUCACCCUCCUCCAUGCCCCUUCCCCCUGGGAACCACUACAUUCCCUGUAUCUGCCUGUUGAGUUUGGUUUGUUUGUUUAUUUUGUUCUGUUUUUUAUAUUCCAUGUAUGAGUGAUAUCAUGCAGUAUUUGUCUGUCUCCAUCUGACUUAUUUCACUUAGCAUAAUGCCCUCCAGGUCUCGCAGGGGGAUUUUUAAAAGCUCCCCAGUGAUUCUCAUCUACAGCCAAGGUUGAAACCCACUGAGCCAGAGCAGAAAUAGCUGGAGGGCAAAGACUCCCCUGCCUUAAUGAGGGAAUGGCUGAAUAGACAGAGGGCAAAAGAAGGCAUUCCAGGUGGGUGGAACAGCGGGAGCAAAGGAGACCCAGGUGGGAAUGUGCUUUGCAGCAUUAGGAAAUAUCCAACACAGGGAUGGAC